UUCGCAAUGCCCGAAAGGGUGACGAAGCGACGCCGCGUGGGUGAGGAAGGCCUUCGGGUUGUAAAGCCCUGUCAGGAGUUAAGAAAUAUAAGUGCGCUAAUACCGCAUUUAUUUGACGAAGGCUCCAAAGGAAGCCACGGCUAACUCUGUGCCAGCAGCCGCGGUAAUACAGAGGUGGCAAGCGUUGUUCGGAAUUAUUGGGCGUAAAGAGCACGUAGGUGGGUUUGUAAGUCAGAUGUGAAAGCCUUCUGUUCAACGGAAGAAUUGCAUCUGAAACUACAAGUCUUGAGUGUAGGAGGGGAGAAUGGAACUUCUGGUGGAGCGGUGAAAUGCGUAGAUAUCAGAAGGAACGCCGGCGGCGAAAGCGAUUCUCUGGCCUAUUACUGACACUCAGUGUGCGAAAGCUAGGGGGGCAAACGGGAUUAGAUACCCCGGUAGUCCUAGCUGUAAACGAUGGGCACUAAGUAGAGGGGUUUU
rnacentral:rRNA from 1 species